rnacentral:rRNA from 1 species
UACGUAGGGGGCGAGCGUUGUCCGGAUUUAUUGGGCGUAAAGAGCUCGUAGGUGGUUCGGUAAGUCGGAUGUGAAAUCUCCAGGCUCAACCUGGAGGGGUCAUUCGAUACUGCCGUGACUAGAGGUCGGUAGGGGAGUGUGGAAUUCCUGGUGGAGCGGUGAAAUGCGCAGAUAUCGGGAGGAACACCUAUGGCGAAGGCAGCUCGCUGGGACGUUACUGACGCUGAGACGCGAAAGCGUGGGGGAGCAAACAGG